GACGAACGCUGGCGGCGUGCCUAAUACAUGCAAGUAGAACGCUGAAGGAGGAGCUUGCUUCUCUGGAUGAGUUGCGAACGGGCGAGUAACGCGUAGGUAACCUGCCUGGUAGCGGGGGAUAACUAUUGGAAACGAUAGCUAAUACCGCAUAAUAGUAGAUGUUGCAUGACAUUUGCUUAAAAGGUGCAAUUGCAUCACUACCAGAUGGACCUGCGUUGUAUUAGCUAGUUGGUGGGGUAACGGCUCACCAAGGCGACGAUACAUAGCCGACCUGAGAGGGUGAUCGGCCACACUGGGACUGAGACACGGCCCAGACUCCUACGGGAGGCAGCAGUAGGGAAUCUUCGGCAAUGGACGGAAGUCUGACCGAGCAACGCCGCGUGAGUGAAGAAGGUUUUCGGAUCGUAAAGCUCUGUUGUAAGAGAAGAACGAGUGUGAGAGUGGAAAGUUCACACUGUGACGGUAUCUUACCAGAAAGGGACGGCUAACUACGUG
rnacentral:rRNA from 1 species